CUCUGCUGUAGACGUCCGGGUAGUGGGACUUCUCAAAGGCCCGCUCCAGCUCAUGGAGCUGGAAGGUGGUGAAGGUGGUCCGGUUUCUGCGGUGUUUCUUCUUCUGGUUCUCGUCGUCGGACAGCCUGCCAUCUCUGUCCGUGUCCUUCCCGCUGUGCUCUGAGUCUUUUAUGGUCUCGGUGUAAGGCGCUGACUUGUGGAAGAUGGUGUCCUCCUUGAAGCCCAGGAUAGCCUCGAUGCUGUGGACGGUGGCCGGGUUGUUCCCCGGGCUCUGCGCGGAGCGGACGGAGGGCGAGGUGCGCUCUUCCAUCAUCAUCAUCAUUUGGGAAGGAGAUCCUAGCAGCCACAUCAGUCAGCUAAAGUCCAAAACUCAGUGACCGUGGCAGAGGCUUUUUCCUUCAGCUGGUCCAUGUCCAUGUUCUGCAAGUUUUGAAACUGGCCCAUUAGCGAGUCCUUGCCCUCCUCCUCCGUAGCAUCCUCAUCCACCAUCUUGAGCAGCUCCUC